ensembl:lncRNA
GUUACAGAAUCCAUAAGAACCUACGAGUCUGAGAGUCACAUCAGGUUUGUUCCUACCCAUUAAGAGGACAAAAGGAAUCUGCUAAUGGGAUCUGCAGCGCUGGUUGGGGUCUGGGAGAUCCUGAAGCAUCAAUCCCGCUCUGUUAGAGCCCAUCUGCCUCUCACAAGUGCCAUUAGUCUGUCACAGGAGAUGCUAAUCUCUUCUUACAGUUACUACAUCUCAUUUGUAUCUCUCUUACAUAGUUGUGGAAUGCAGAAAAUUAUACAUAUAGAGCAGAAGAACUCAAGGUGAUGUGUAUACAUGCAUAGUACAACAUAUCUAGUGUCCUCUUGAGGUCUAACGAGUGCACGUGGUGAGACUGUGUCCAAUGAACCCUGCUGGGCCUGUGAGCCACUGGUGGGCUUUUAAGAGGCAAAGAUGCUCUUAAAACUCUGCUUGCCCUGAAUUGUGUGUUGUGAGCUUACUUAGAUGGAGGCAUGAGAGGCUGUGGGGGUCCAACAGGGUUGGGAAGAGUGCCUGGACUCUGAAACACUGUGAUGCACUGAUGGGCAGAGGGCCUGUUGCCAUGUAGUAGGCUGAAAUGAGGACAUACUGGGCCAAAUGAAGUUGGCUAGUUAAUUGGGGGUCAAAUGAAGACACGGGGCUCAGAUGAGCUCACAUGAGGUCAAAUCAAGGAAAAUAAGUGGUCCUGAAGGUCAAAUGUGUUUAAUUGGGGUCAGACGAUGUCUUAAAGGUCAUACAAGGUCACAGAGGUCAAGCGAGGUCAAAUCACAGAAAAUAAGUUGUCUGAAAGGUCAAAUGAGGUUAAUUGGGGUCAAACGAGGACACAAAGGUCAGCUGAGGUCACAGAGGUCAAGUGAGGUCAAAUCACAGAAAAUAAGUGGCCCAAAAGGUCAAAUGAGGCUAAUUGGGGUCAGAUGAGGUCACAAAGGUCAUACGAGGUCACAGAGGUCAAGUGAGGUCAAAUCAAGGCAAAAAUGUACUCCGAAAGGUCAAAUGAGGUUAAUUGGGGUCAAACGAGGACACAAAGGUCAUAUGAGGUCACAGAGGUCAAGCAAGGUCAAAUUGAGGAAAAUAAAUGCUCCAAAAGGUCAAAUGAGGUUAAUUGGGGUCAUAUGAGGUCACAGAGGUCAAAUGAGGUCACAGAGGUCAAGCGAGGACACAGUGAGUCACCUGGCCAUGAAAUAAGUGGCUUGAGUUGUCCCAGUAGGUUAAUUUCAGUCUAACAAAGCCCCAGGGGUUUGGUUCCCACUGUGUACCUUAGGCCCAAUGGAUGGCUAAUGCUUCCGAUGGGCUCCUGUGAAGCCAGGCAAGUUGAGUGGCUGUUACAAUCUGCUGAAUAAAACAGUUGUUUAUUAGUAGCUAUUCGUAUCUGCAGGGGCUAGAAAUCAACUAAAGGGGUAGCUAUAG